AUACAUUUAUUGAGGACUGUUCUGUGUCCCUUGAGAAUGGUAAUGAUGAUGAAUCGUUUAUUGCUGAAUACUAUGGAAAAAACGAUUUAGACAGCUGGUGUGAUUACAUGUUUUAUGGGAGAGAUAGCGACUAUAGGAAUGAAUAUAAAAUCUGCAUAACACCGUUAGUGUACGAAGACCAUGACUGUGCGGUAGAGUUAACGUACAAGGAGAGUUAUGGUGGUUCACCAUUGAAGGUAUUUAUGUGAUUAAAACUACUCCGAUUUCAUUUAUUACUAAA
rnacentral:lncRNA from 1 species